CUCCCACUCGACUGGUCCGACCUCCUUGGAGGGUUUGGUGGUCGCCCUCUUCAGUCCUCGCCGUGUUCGGUGCUCCUUGAGGUCCUGCAAGUCGCCGACACUCCUACUUCGGUGGCGUUGUCACAUAGACAACCAGUUGGAAGUGUCAUGCCGGGUGCAGAGUCCAGUCCUCCCCGACUGCAAGCAGCUGAAUACCAUGAGAAUCGAGCUGCUCUUCUUUUCUUUCAGAUCAGAGAUGCCUUAACCCAAAGGCAGGUUAAGAUGGCAAACCUAAAUAAGUACUCUUUCUGUACAGAGAAUGGCACUGUGCUAGCGCAAUCCAUCUUUGAUGUUCCUGGUAGAUGGAUCAUAUUAGUCAUUACGCGUGCUAUCCUGAAGCUCCGAUUUUGAUGUGACAAUGCAAGAAGAUUGGUGUCGAGGCAAAUGUUCUUUCGGUGACAAUGCAAAAAGAUUGGUGUCGCUCUUAACUGCGCUUGGGAAAUUUCAUCUCCAUGGCGAUCAGCUAAGGUAAUCUUAUUUUAUAAAUUGUUUGUCCACAUGAAUUUAAUCAAUUGAUGUUUGUGUGUUAAGUGGAAGGUUCAUGGUACUUGGUUUAGGGUUAGGUUUGUUUUUUUUGGAAUAACAUCUGCUGAAACAGUUAGCUGCAAUAGCUAGAUCGUCUAUGAAUAUUAACCAAUGUAGUUAAUUUUUCAUUCCCCCUCCUCACUAAUUAUAGCAGUAUAAAUGUCAAUGGACGGAGUUCAGCUAGAAUCUUAGUGGAUGAUAACUUCUUUUCCUCAGAUUCAGCCGAUGUAUAUACAUCCUAAUAUGCCAACUGGUAAAAAAAGUACUCCCUCGAUUCAUAUUAAUUGACUUCAACAUGAAUGUAUCUAGAACUAAAAUGUGUCUAGAUACAUCCAUAUUAGAGUCAAUUAAUAUGAACCGGUGGGAGUAGUAAUAUUCAUUCUUCCGUAUCUGAGCUUAAUUUGCCCCGUUUGCCAUAAACCUUAAAAUAUCCAUUCUGCUGAGUGUGCUGAAUGCCUCAUAUGUACAUCACCGUGCUUCAUGACUCAUAUAUACUCGACUGAUGAACACACACAGAAAAGUUUCAGCUAUCAGUGUUGUCAUGUCGUACAAUAUACCGAGUAUUUUAUGGCUGAUUUACAUGGGCCAAAAUGUUACCGAGCACGAUGAAAUACAUAUUUUGUUUACUUUAUAUAGUUUGUUGCGAUGCGUAUACACCCUGGUUACAUAACCAUGAUUGGUUGAGUAAGCACAGCAAGUUGUAUGGCAUCGGCACCCCAUUUCAGUACGCCAUUGUCUUCUGAAUAAUGCUCUGUAGAUUCUUGCAAGCUUUUUCAUUAUUUCUCAUGCUAGAUAAUGGCACUGCUAUACUAUGCUGUUCGGGUAUGAUUUCUUUGUAUAUAAUGUUCAAGGUAUAAUAUAUCUCUGCCUUUUAGCAAAGUCAAGCUAGGGAUCACAUACAUGUCAAUGAGCUGAUGGACCAUCUCUUGGUUUAAUGAAAAUAUAUUUUCUCCUUUUGCUUGACUAUAGCUUGACUUGAAAAUGCAUUCAGGCUGCUCUUAUUAACUUGAGAAAGCCCAUGAAAUUUCUCCGGAGGAUAAAACUAUUGCCGAGGUUCUAUAGUAUGGUUUACUUUUCUCCUAUUGCCGAUGUUCUGAAGUAUGCUUUACUUUUCUCCUGCAAAAACAAUAAUAAUUAUGCUGAUCUUACUCCCCUUCCCUGAAUUAUAUUGAGACCAGCUAAAGUAUAGGGAAUGCUAGCUGCCGUUUGAUUUGGUCUGAAUGCCUACAAUGGUGGACACUUAUUUGUCCCUUCGUAAAAAGUUUCUAUUUGGGAAUGUUUGUUGUUCCAUUAUGUAUCUCGAAUUUCUCAGCGGUGCUAAUUGUACUUUCGGUUAUAAUAAGGUCUGCUACAGACCAGAAUCUUAGCCAAACAUUCAUCAUGAGCAUAUACAAAAUUUUAAGGAACAGUCUUUUCUGUAGCUAUUACCUUUGUUGAUCUGCAAGGACGCAGUUCAGGAUAUCUGAAUCUGAUUUGUGCACCGAACUAAGGGUAACUUUUUCCCAGGUACUUAGAUUUCUGUUGUACGUGCUGCUUUCUUGCAUCUGAUCCUGUUAUAACGUUCAAUCGUGGGAACCUGAGUACUUCGUUUAAACAGUCUGAAGAAAAUGGUUCCUGGUGCACACCUCCCGUCUUUGAAGAACUUGACGUCUACGUUCAUAGGUCGAUGAUGUCCGGGACCUCAAAGCCUGGAUUAACCUGGCCAAGGAGGUGUAGGUAUAUGUGAAUGGCAUCGGAAAGAAAGUUCCGUUGCUUUCUUAUCAUUGGUUGUCUCCGAGAUUUCUUCCCUGCAUGUGCUAUACAAAAUAUGAUUUUGGCUGGUGGUAUACUGAAGUAUGGCUUUGUCGAAUUUCCACAAGUUGCUAUUCUAGCCCAGUAUCUGAUAGAUUUAAACCUGUAUAUUGGCUUGCUUAUGCUUUGAAUGUCGGAGGAACAUGUUCUGUUCCUUCUGGGUUGGAUUUAUGAUGCACGUUGUGCCUCCACUGUCUGUAGUAGCGACUUGUGAGGUUUCUUGCUCAUUCUUGCAAACAUCAAUUACCACAAGUAGCUUCUCAGAACCGUAUCUAUGUGCAUGUGUAUAUCCACUUCAGAAUUAAUUCUAUCAGCAUAGCUCUCCCAAUUGUGAUAUGUGGUCGUACUUUUGCUCUUUUAGGAGCACAGAUGCUUGGUGUUGUAUACCCCUUUGGAAAAACAAUCUCUCUAUAUAAAUUUUCUUCAAUUAUUGAGAUUGAAGCUUUGCUUC